AAUAAUUAGCGGGGAAAGAAGACCCUUUUGAGCUUGACUCUAAUCUGGCAGUGUAAGGAGACAUAAGAGGUGUAGAAUAAGUGGGAGAUAUUAGACUUCGGUUUGGUAUCGACAAUGAAAUACCACUACUCUUAUUGUUUCCUUACUUACUUGAUUAAAUGGAACGUGUAUCAUUUCCUAGCCAUUAUACGGAUAUAAUUAUUAUGUCUUAUGGUAUUGGGUUUUGAUGCAAGCUUCUUGAUCAAAGUAUCACGAGUUUGUUAUAUAAUCGCAAACAAAUUCUUUAAUGAGAGAAUGCAUUUAUGUAUUAUUGAUUUAAAAAUUUGGUAUAACUCCAAUUACUCAGGUAUGAUCCAAUUCAAGGACAUUGCCAGGUAGGGAGUUUGACUGGGGCGGUACAUCUCUCAAAUAAUAACGGAGGUGUCCCAAGGCCAGCUCAGUGCGGACAGAAACCACACAUAUAGCAAAAGGGCAAAUGCUGACUUGAUCUCGGUGUUCAGUACACACAGGGACAGCAAAAGCUCGGCCUAUCGAUCCUUUUGGUUUAAAGAGUUUUUAACCAGAGGGUCAGAAAAUUUACCUUAGGGAUAACUGGCCUGU
rnacentral:ncRNA from 1 species